GGGUUGUGAGGUUAAGCGACUAAGCGUACACGGUGGAUGCCCUGGCAGUCAGAGGCGAUGAAGGACGUGCUAAUCUGCGAUAAGCGUCGGUAAGGUGAUAUGAACCGUUAUAACCGGCGAUUUCCGAAUGGGGAAACCCAGUGUGUUUCGACACACUAUCAUUAACUGAAUCCAUAGGUUAAUGAGGCGAACCGGGGGAACUGAAACAUCUAAGUACCCCGAGGAAAAGAAAUCAACCGAGAUUCCCCCAGUAGCGGCGAGCGAACGGGGAGCAGCCCAGAGCCUGAAUCAGUGUGUGUGUUAGUGGAAGCGUCUGGAAAGGCGCGCGAUACAGGGUGACAGCCCCGUACACAAAAAUGCACAUGCUGUGAGCUCGAUGAGUAGGGCGGGACACGUGGUAUCCUGUCUGAAUAUGGGGGGACCAUCCUCCAAGGCUAAAUACUCCUGACUGACCGAUAGUGAACCAGUACCGUGAGGGAAAGGCGAAAAGAACCCCGGCGAGGGGAGUGAAAAAGAACCUGAAACCGUGUACGUACAAGCAGUGGGAGCACGCUUAGGCGUGUGACUGCGUACCUUUUGUAUAAUGGGUCAGCGACUUAUAUUCUGUAGCAAGGUUAACCGAAUAGGGGAGCCGAAGGGAAACCGAGUCUUAACUGGGCGUUAAGUUGCAGGGUAUAGACCCGAAACCCGGUGAUCUAGCCAUGGGCAGGUUGAAGGUUGGGUAACACUAACUGGAGGACCGAACCGACUAAUGUUGAAAAAUUAGCGGAUGACUUGUGGCUGGGGGUGAAAGGCCAAUCAAACCGGGAGAUAGCUGGUUCUCCCCGAAAGCUAUUUAGGUAGCGCCUCGUGAAUUCAUCUCCGGGGGUAGAGCACUGUUUCGGCAAGGGGGUCAUCCCGACUUACCAACCCGAUGCAAACUGCGAAUACCGGAGAAUGUUAUCACGGGAGACACACGGCGGGUGCUAACGUCCGUCGUGAAGAGGGAAACAACCCAGACCGCCAGCUAAGGUCCCAAAGUCAUGGUUAAGUGGGAAACGAUGUGGGAAGGCCCAGACAGCCAGGAUGUUGGCUUAGAAGCAGCCAUCAUUUAAAGAAAGCGUAAUAGCUCACUGGUCGAGUCGGCCUGCGCGGAAGAUGUAACGGGGCUAAACCAUGCACCGAAGCUGCGGCAGCGACGCUUAUGCGUUGUUGGGUAGGGGAGCGUUCUGUAAGCCUGUGAAGGUGUGCUGUGAGGCAUGCUGGAGGUAUCAGAAGUGCGAAUGCUGACAUAAGUAACGAUAAAGCGGGUGAAAAGCCCGCUCGCCGGAAGACCAAGGGUUCCUGUCCAACGUUAAUCGGGGCAGGGUGAGUCGACCCCUAAGGCGAGGCCGAAAGGCGUAGUCGAUGGGAAACAGGUUAAUAUUCCUGUACUUGGUGUUACUGCGAAGGGGGGACGGAGAAGGCUAUGUUGGCCGGGCGACGGUUGUCCCGGUUUAAGCGUGUAGGCUGGUUUUCCAGGCAAAUCCGGAAAAUCAAGGCUGAGGCGUGAUGACGAGGCACUACGGUGCUGAAGCAACAAAUGCCCUGCUUCCAGGAAAAGCCUCUAAGCAUCAGGUAACAUCAAAUCGUACCCCAAACCGACACAGGUGGUCAGGUAGAGAAUACCAAGGCGCUUGAGAGAACUCGGGUGAAGGAACUAGGCAAAAUGGUGCCGUAACUUCGGGAGAAGGCACGCUGAUAUGUAGGUGAAGUCCCUUGCGGAUGGAGCUGAAAUCAGUCGAAGAUACCAGCUGGCUGCAACUGUUUAUUAAAAACACAGCACUGUGCAAACACGAAAGUGGACGUAUACGGUGUGACGCCUGCCCGGUGCCGGAAGGUUAAUUGAUGGGGUUAGCGGUAACGCGAAGCUCUUGAUCGAAGCCCCGGUAAACGGCGGCCGUAACUAUAACGGUCCUAAGGUAGCGAAAUUCCUUGUCGGGUAAGUUCCGACCUGCACGAAUGGCGUAAUGAUGGCCAGGCUGUCUCCACCCGAGACUCAGUGAAAUUGAACUCGCUGUGAAGAUGCAGUGUACCCGCGGCAAGACGGAAAGACCCCGUGAACCUUUACUAUAGCUUGACACUGAACAUUGAGCCUUGAUGUGUAGGAUAGGUGGGAGGCUUUGAAGUGUGGACGCCAGUCUGCAUGGAGCCGACCUUGAAAUACCACCCUUUAAUGUUUGAUGUUCUAACGUUGACCCGUGAUCCGGGUUGCGGACAGUGUCUGGUGGGUAGUUUGACUGGGGCGGUCUCCUCCUAAAGAGUAACGGAGGAGCACGAAGGUUGGCUAAUCCUGGUCGGACAUCAGGAGGUUAGUGCAAUGGCAUAAGCCAGCUUGACUGCGAGCGUGACGGCGCGAGCAGGUGCGAAAGCAGGUCAUAGUGAUCCGGUGGUUCUGAAUGGAAGGGCCAUCGCUCAACGGAUAAAAGGUACUCCGGGGAUAACAGGCUGAUACCGCCCAAGAGUUCAUAUCGACGGCGGUGUUUGGCACCUCGAUGUCGGCUCAUCACAUCCUGGGGCUGAAGUAGGUCCCAAGGGUAUGGCUGUUCGCCAUUUAAAGUGGUACGCGAGCUGGGUUUAGAACGUCGUGAGACAGUUCGGUCCCUA
rnacentral:rRNA from 1 species